rnacentral:misc_RNA from 1 species
GCCCAUCAACGCUCUGCCUCCCUCCACGUACCUCGUGGCGGGGAGCCGGCCAGAUGCGGACACUGACCCUCCGAGCCAUAAUAGGUGCGGUGGGUUGAAGUGCGCGGUCGUCGGAUGGUGCCGGGAUUGGUGAGUGGUGGGCUACUGCGCAUGCCGACCCCGGCUCCAUUCCCGACAGAUGGCCCUUUUCGAACCCCUAACAAGGAGAUUGCGGUCGCGGCGUCGCUGUGCCGCAUCUUCGAACC